GGGCCAGGCUGAAGACUUUUGCCGGAUUAGCUGGAGAGGUGGUGCAUGGCCGUCGUCAGUUCGUACUGUUGAAGCAUCCUGUUAAGUCAGGCAACGAGCGAGACCCACGCCCACAGUUGCCAGCGUACUCUCCGGAGUGACGGGUACACUGUGGGACCGCCGCUGCUAAAGCGGAGGAAGGAAUGGGCAACGGUAGGUCAGUAUGCCCCGAAUAUCCCGGGCUACACGCGAGCUACAAUGGUUGGUACAAUGGGUAUCUACCCCGAAAGGGGACGGGAAUCUCCUAAAACCAAUCUUAGUUCGGAUUGAGGGCUGCAACUCGCCCUCAUGAAGCUGGAAUCCGUAGUAAUCGCGUUUCAACAGAACGCGGUGAAUACGUCCCUGCUCCUU
rnacentral:rRNA from 1 species